GUGGAGCUGGGCAGGCAACCUGGUACUUGGAUUCACCUUUUGAAGGAUGGAGAGGAGCUCCCUUCUCCACAAGGAGUUGAAGGGUGGAGGAGUUAGAGCCAGGCCUGGCUGGGAGUUCUGGCGUCCAGGAUGCAGGAGGCUUCAGCAGAAGAGGCGUGGCCAACAGCCCCUGAAUUAGCAGAACCCCGCCCAUUUUGUGGGCACUGAAGACAGGCAGCGCGAUAGUGUCCUUGUUGGCCAGCAGAGGGCGCAAUAGGAGGCGGGCCGCACCCGAAGAUGGCUAUAGCGCUGUGCCCGAGCCAGCCUGGGCGCCCUCUGCCGGGCAGCCCCGACUCGGGGCUCCCACAGCGGGGUCUUCGGUCCCGUGUUUCUGCGCCAGGGUCCAGGCCCACUGGCCUGUACCCAGAAUCCUCCAGGGAACUGGGAUCCCGCCCUGGAGAAUCGGAUCCUGGGUCUAGGAUAGCCAGUUCUGGGGACCACCCCUCGCAUUCUUGGGUUCCCUCUCUGGCAUCUGACAGCUAGCUCUCCCUAGCUGGCCCCCCCGCCUACCAUCUCCAGCUUUUGCUUGAUUGCCUCCAAAGACGCGGACCUAGCCCCUCCAAGAGAUUCAACCUGUGUGAAUGUGGGUGUACCCACCCCUGUGCACACGGGUGUC
rnacentral:lncRNA from 1 species